CUCGGCCUACGGGAGGCAGCAGUAGGGAAUCUUCCACAAUGGACGAAAGUCUGAUGGAGCAACGCCGCGUGAGUGAAGAAGGGUUUCGGCUCGUAAAGCUCUGUUGGGAGUGAAGAAAGAUAGAGGUAGUAACUGGCCUUUAUUUGACGGUAAUUACUUAGAAAGUCACGGCUAACUACGUGCCAGCAGCCGCGGUAAUACGUAGGUGGCAAGCGGUGUCCGGAUUUAUUGGGCGUAAAG
rnacentral:rRNA from 1 species